UACGUAGGUGGCGAGCGUUGUCCGGAUUUACUGGGCGUAAAGAGCGCGCAGGCGGUCGUGCAAGUCGCGUGUGAAAGCCCCCGGCUCAACUGGGGAGGGUCACGCGAUACUGCUCGACUCGAAGGCAGGAGAGGGAAGUGGAAUUCCCGGUGUAGUGGUGAAAUGCGUAGAUAUCGGGAGGAACACCAGUGGCGAAGGCGACUACCUGGCCUGUUUCUUGACGCUGAGGCGCGAAAGCUAGGGGAGCAAACGGG
rnacentral:rRNA from 1 species